GACGAACGCUGGCGGCGUGCUUAAUACAUGCAAGUCUACUUGUCUUAUGGUAGCAAUAUUAUAAGAAGAGUGGCGCACGGGUGAGUAACACGUAGGUAAUCUACCCUCAGGACUGACAUAAUUCAGCGAAAGCUGGACUAAUAUCAGAUAAAACAACGAUCUGGCAUCAGGUUGUUGUCAAAGCUCCGGUACCUGAAGAUGAGCCUGCGGUCCAUUAGGCAGUUGGCGGGGUAAAAGCCCACCAAACCAACGAUGGAUAGCUGGUCUGAGAGGAUGAUCAGCCACACUGGAACUGAGACACGGUCCAGACACCUACGGGUGGCUG
rnacentral:rRNA from 1 species